AUUUUUUCCUACAGAAAAAUGCUUAUUAAAAUAUAUAUAUAUAAAUAUUUUUAUAUUAAGAAAAAUAAUAUAGGCAAUAAAGUCUUUAUUAUUAUUAAAUCUUUCAAUAAAAUGUUUCAACUUUGUAAAAUUUCAAAACUUUGCAGCUUGACACCAUUAUGCAUUGCACAAUUUGCCCUAUGGAUGAUAUGGCCCUGCAUGCAAGACAAUAUAAAGUAUAUGGAUUUCAUAAACUAAUUAAAUCAGAAAACAUUUAUUUAAUUCUGGAAUGACAUGAUAAAGAAAAGUUACAUUAAUAAGCACUUGGGAUGUUGUACAGCACAUUUUUGGUGAAAACAUUGUUUAUUUAAAAUGAAAUAUUUUAAGCCAUAAAAUCAGACAUUCUCAGUUCAGCUUCAUUGUCUUAUAUAUUUGAUUUUAUAAUACAAAAUCAUGGCAUAUUUUAGAUUUAAAACAUUAUUUAUUUAAAUAAGAAAUAUUUC
rnacentral:lncRNA from 1 species